UACGGGGGGGGCAAGCGUUGUUCGGAAUUACUGGGCGUAAAGGGCUCGUAGGCGGCCAACUAAGUCAGACGUGAAAUCCCUCGGCUUAACCGGGGAACUGCGUCUGAUACUGGAUGGCUUGAGGUUGGGAGAGGGAUGCGGAAUUCCAGGUGUAGCGGUGAAAUGCGUAGAUAUCGGGAGGAACACCCGUGGCGAAGGCGGCUUUCUGGACCACUACUGACGCUGAGGCACGAAAGCCGGGGGAGCAAACAGG
rnacentral:rRNA from 1 species